GAUGAACGCUGGCGGCGUGCCUAAUACAUGCAAGUCGAGCGAACAGAUAAGGAGCUUGCUCCUUUGACGUUAGCGGCGGACGGGUGAGUAACACGUGGGUAACCUACCUAUAAGACUGGGAUAACUUCGGGAAACCGGAGCUAAUACCGGAUAACAUUUGGAACCGCAUGGUUCUAAAGUGAAAGAUGGUUUUGCUAUCACUUAUAGAUGGACCCGCGCCGUAUUAGCUAGUUGGUAAGGUAACGGCUUACCAAGGCGACGAUACGUAGCCGACCUGAGGGGGUGAUCGGCCACACUGGAACUGAGACACGGUCCAGACUCCUACGGGAGGCAGCAGUAGGGAAUCUUCCGCAAUGGGCGAAAGCCUGACGGAGCAACGCCGCGUGAGUGAUGAAGGGUUUCGGCUCGUAAAACUCUGUUAUUAGGGAAGAACAAACGUGUAAGUAACUGUGCACGUCUUGACGGUACCUAAUCAGAAAGCCACGGCUAACUACGUGCCAGCAGCCGCGGUAAAAC
rnacentral:rRNA from 1 species